rnacentral:rRNA from 1 species
AUUGAACGCUGGCGGCAUGCCUUACACAUGCAAGUCGAACGGCAGCACGGGUGCUUGCACCUGGUGGCGAGUGGCGAACGGGUGAGUAAUACAUCGGAACGUACCUUAUCGUGGGGGAUAACGCAGCGAAAGCUGUGCUAAUACCGCAUACGCCCUGAGGGGGAAAGCGGGGGAUCGCAAGACCUCGCGCGAUUAGAGCGGCCGAUGCCUGAUUAGCUAGUUGGUGGGGUAAAAGCCCACCAAGGCGACGAUCAGUAGCUGGGCUGAGGGGACGAGCAGCCAGACUGGGGCUGAGACACGGCCCAGACUCUUACGGGAGGCAGCAGUGGGGAAUGUUGGACAAUGGGAGCAACCCUGAUCCAGCAAUGCAGCGUGAGUGAAGAAGGCCUUCGGGUUGUAAAGCUCUUUUGUCAGGGAAGAAACACCGGCUCUAACACAGUCCGGGAAUGACGGUACCUGAAGAAUAAGCACCGGCUAACUACGUGCCAGCAGCCGCGGUAA